ACCCAGCUGACGAGUCCCAAAUAGGGCAAAAUGCGUGUUCUAGAU
rnacentral:hammerhead_ribozyme from 1 species